rnacentral:rRNA from 1 species
UACGAGGGGGGCGAGCGUUAUUCAGAAUGAUUGGGCGUAAAGAGCACGUAGGCAGUUUGUAAAGUUGAAGUUAUGAAAGCCCAAAGCUUAACUUUGGGAAACAUUUUAAGAUUUAUAAACUAGAGUAAGUAAGAGGAGAAUGGAAUUCCUGAAGGAGAGGUAAAAUUUGUUGAUAUCAGGAAGAACACCGAAAGCGAAGGCAGUUCUCUGGUACUAUACUGACGUUGAGGUGCGAAAGCGUGGGGAGCAAAGGGG